rnacentral:rRNA from 1 species
UUAAGCGACUAAGCGUACACGGUGGAUGCCCUGGCAGUCAGAGGCGAUGAAGGACGUGCUAAUCUGCGAUAAGCGUCGGUAAGGUGAUAUGAACCGUUAUAACCGGCGAUUUCCGAAUGGGGAAACCCAGUGUGUUUCGACACACUAUCAUUAACUGAAUCCAUAGGUUAAUGAGGCGAACCGGGGGAACUGAAACAUCUAAGUACCCCGAGGAAAAGAAAUCAACCGAGAUUCCCCCAGUAGCGGCGAGCGAACGGGGAGCAGCCCAGAGCCUGAAUCAGUGUGUGUGUUAGUGGAAGCGUCUGGAAAGGCGCGCGAUACAGGGUGACAGCCCCGUACACAAAAAUGCACAUGCUGUGAGCUCGAUGAGUAGGGCGGGACACGUGGUAUCCUGUCUGAAUAUGGGGGGACCAUCCUCCAAGGCUAAAUACUCCUGACUGACCGAUAGUGAACCAGUACCGUGAGGGAAAGGCGAAAAGAACCCCGGCGAGGGGAGUGAAAAAGAACCUGAAACCGUGUACGUACAAGCAGUGGGAGCCUCUUUUAUGGGGUGACUGCGUACCUUUUGUAUAAUGGGUCAGCGACUUAUAUUCUGUAGCAAGGUUAACCGAAUAGGGGAGCCGAAGGGAAACCGAGUCUUAACUGGGCGUUAAGUUGCAGGGUAUAGACCCGAAACCCGGUGAUCUAGCCAUGGGCAGGUUGAAGGUUGGGUAACACUAACUGGAGGACCGAACCGACUAAUGUUGAAAAAUUAGCGGAUGACUUGUGGCUGGGGGUGAAAGGCCAAUCAAACCGGGAGAUAGCUGGUUCUCCCCGAAAGCUAUUUAGGUAGCGCCUCGUGAAUUCAUCUCCGGGGGUAGAGCACUGUUUCGGCAAGGGGGUCAUCCCGACUUACCAACCCGAUGCAAACUGCGAAUACCGGAGAAUGUUAUCACGGGAGACACACGGCGGGUGCUAACGUCCGUCGUGAAGAGGGAAACAACCCAGACCGCCAGCUAAGGUCCCAAAGUCAUGGUUAAGUGGGAAACGAUGUGGGAAGGCCCAGACAGCCAGGAUGUUGGCUUAGAAGCAGCCAUCAUUUAAAGAAAGCGUAAUAGCUCACUGGUCGAGUCGGCCUGCGCGGAAGAUGUAACGGGGCUAAACCAUGCACCGAAGCUGCGGCAGCGACGCUUAUGCGUUGUUGGGUAGGGGAGCGUUCUGUAAGCCUGUGAAGGUGUGCUGUGAGGCAUGCUGGAGGUAUCAGAAGUGCGAAUGCUGACAUAAGUAACGAUAAAGCGGGUGAAAAGCCCGCUCGCCGGAAGACCAAGGGUUCCUGUCCAACGUUAAUCGGGGCAGGGUGAGUCGACCCCUAAGGCGAGGCCGAAAGGCGUAGUCGAUGGGAAACAGGUUAAUAUUCCUGUACUUGGUGUUACUGCGAAGGGGGGACGGAGAAGGCUAUGUUGGCCGGGCGACGGUUGUCCCGGUUUAAGCGUGUAGGCUGGUUUUCCAGGCAAAUCCGGAAAAUCAAGGCUGAGGCGUGAUGACGAGGCACUACGGUGCUGAAGCAACAAAUGCCCUGCUUCCAGGAAAAGCCUCUAAGCAUCAGGUAACAUCAAAUCGUACCCCAAACCGACACAGGUGGUCAGGUAGAGAAUACCAAGGCGCUUGAGAGAACUCGGGUGAAGGAACUAGGCAAAAUGGUGCCGUAACUUCGGGAGAAGGCACGCUGAUAUGUAGGUGAAGCGACUUGCUCGUGGAGCUGAAAUCAGUCGAAGAUACCAGCUGGCUGCAACUGUUUAUUAAAAACACAGCACUGUGCAAACACGAAAGUGGACGUAUACGGUGUGACGCCUGCCCGGUGCCGGAAGGUUAAUUGAUGGGGUCAGCGCAAGCGAAGCUCUUGAUCGAAGCCCCGGUAAACGGCGGCCGUAACUAUAACGGUCCUAAGGUAGCGAAAUUCCUUGUCGGGUAAGUUCCGACCUGCACGAAUGGCGUAAUGAUGGCCAGGCUGUCUCCACCCGAGACUCAGUGAAAUUGAACUCGCUGUGAAGAUGCAGUGUACCCGCGGCAAGACGGAAAGACCCCGUGAACCUUUACUAUAGCUUGACACUGAACAUUGAGCCUUGAUGUGUAGGAUAGGUGGGAGGCUUGAAGUGUGGACGCCAGUCUGCAUGGAGCCGACCUUGAAAUACCACCCUUUAAUGUUUGAUGUUCUAACGUUGACCCGUAAUCCGGGUUGCGGACAGUGUCUGGUGGGUAGUUUGACUGGGGCGGUCUCCUCCUAAAGAGUAACGGAGGAGCACGAAGGUUGGCUAAUCCUGGUCGGACAUCAGGAGGUUAGUGCAAUGGCAUAAGCCAGCUUGACUGCGAGCGUGACGGCGCGAGCAGGUGCGAAAGCAGGUCAUAGUGAUCCGGUGGUUCUGAAUGGAAGGGCCAUCGCUCAACGGAUAAAAGGUACUCCGGGGAUAACAGGCUGAUACCGCCCAAGAGUUCAUAUCGACGGCGGUGUUUGGCACCUCGAUGUCGGCUCAUCACAUCCUGGGGCUGAAGUAGGUCCCAAGGGUAUGGCUGUUCGCCAUUUAAAGUGGUACGCGAGCUGGGUUUAGAACGUCGUGAGACAGUUCGGUCCCUAUCUGCCGUGGGCGCUGGAGAACUGAGGGGGGCUGCUCCUAGUACGAGAGGACCGGAGUGGACGCAUCACUGGUGUUCGGGUUGUCAUGCCAAUGGCACUGCCCGGUAGCUAAAUGCGGAAGAGAUAAGUGCUGAAAGCAUCUAAGCACGAAACUUGCCCCGAGAUGAGUUCUCCCUGACUCCUUGAGAGUCCUGAAGGAACGUUGAAGACGACGACGUUGAUAGGCCGGGUGUGUAAGCGCAGCGAUGCGUUGAGCUAACCGGUACUAAUGAACCGUGAGGCUUAACCUU